UACGUAGGGUGCAAGCGUUGUCCGGAAUUAUUGGGCGUAAAGAGCUCGUAGGCGGUUUGUCGCGUCUGCUGUGAAAACUCGGGGCUUAACCCCGGGCCUGCAGUGGGUACGGGCAGACUAGAGUUCGGUAGGGGAGUCUGGAAUUCCUGGUGUAGCGGUGAAAUGCGUAGAUAUCGGGAGGAACACCAGUGGCGAAGGCGACUUCUUGGCCUGUUCUUGACGCUGAGGCGCGAAAGCUGGGGGAGCAAACGGGG
rnacentral:rRNA from 1 species